rnacentral:misc_RNA from 1 species
ACAAACUUGGUCAUUUAGAGGAAGUAAAAGUCGUAACAAGGUCUCCGUAGGUGAACCUGCGGAGGGAUCAUUAACACGUUGCAAAACGUUAUCCUUCUUACCCACACCAAUUCGUGAACUGCCCCGAUCCUGUACCGCAGAGCAGCCGUUGCCGCUGGAGCGAACUGGACCGUUCAUUAACGGGUUUGGUUUUGUUGCAGUGGUGGUUGGUCUGUAUGGUAUUUUCUUUUUUCUGACGCACAAACGUUGUUUCCUCCCGUUUGACCUUUGUUUGUUGACUCGAUGGCACGAGUGGUGUUUUUCCUGGUGAAAGGCGCCAUUGGUGUGGUCGAAAGACUAAUGAAUGAAAGCACAACUCUUAGCAACGGAUAUCUUGGUUCUCGCAUCGAUGAAGAACGCAGC